AUGUGGGUGAACAUCAUCCAAUCUGCUGAGAGCCUGAAUAGAACAAAACAGUGGGGGAAGAGUGAAUCUGCUGUCUUGGCUUGAGGAGAGACAUCUGUCUUCUCCUGCCCUCAAACAUGGGUGAUCCUGGUCCUUGAGCUCUCAGACAAAUACUGGGAGUUAUGCCAUCAGGCUCCCCCAUUCUCAGGCCUUCACACUUAGACUGAAUUACAUCACCUGCUUUCCUUAUCAGCUUACAGACAGUGGACUGUGGGAUUUCUCAGCCUCCAUAAUCACGUUAAAAUCUGAGAAGUGGAAUUUCCGGGUAUGCUCCUCUCCAAGACUUCUGAUGCAAAUCGUCAAAAUGUCCUCCGGAAAUUCACCUAUUUAUAAAUCUCACCAGCAGGGCAGCUUUCACUCAAUAUGAUCAUUUUUUUACAUUUUUUUCCCUAUCUUAUAAUCCAUAGGUGGCAAAUGAUAUUCAAUUGCUACUUUAAUUGACAUUUCUUUGAUAACUAAUGAAGAAGAAUUUUGCAUAGGUUUAUUGGCCACUUCUAGUUUUUCUCUUGUGAGUACAACUAGUUUUCAAAUAUACAUGGGAACUAUUGUGAUUUUCUUUAAAAAUCACACAAAGUCAUUUAAAAUAUAUAGUCACAAAUAUGAAAUUAUACCAAGUAAUUAUUGUGAAAAUUGUUAGAUUCAAAAAUGACAUUGUAGUUAUGUAAGAAAUUGUCUGUAUUCCUAAAGAUUCCUGCUGGUGUGUGUAGGGGUGAAGUAAUCUGAUACAUGGAUAUACCAGAAAAAAAAAAAAAAACAGAUGAAGCGAACACUGGUAAUUGUUGAAUCUGAAUGAAUCUAGAUAGAGUUCAUUGUACUGGUCUCUCUAACUAAAAAAAAAUAUAUUAUUGUACUGAAAAAUAUCAGUGCAAAAAGGUGCAAAAAUCUUAAGUGAAUGAAGACCAAAAAUGAAUUAUCAAAAAGUUAACUCAGCCAGGUGCAGUGGCUCACACCUGCAAUCCCAACACUUUGGGAGGCUGAGGUGGAUUGCUUAAGACUACAAGUUCAAGACCAGCCUGGGCAACAUGGUGAAACCCCGUCUCUACUGAAAAUACAAAAAUUAACUGGACAUGCGCCUGUAGUCCUAGCUACUCUGGAGGCUGAGAUGGUAGGCUCACUUGAGCCUGGGAGGUCAAGGCUGCAGUGAGCUAUGAUUGUGCCACUGCACUCCAACCUGGGCUACAGAGUGAGACCCUGUGUCUUAAAAAAAAUAAAAAAUAAAAAAAGUGAACUCACUAUAUAACAGUAAUCCAGGAUAAAAAAUAGAACUUUACUGACAUCUCGGGAGCCCCUAUCAAACCUCUUGCCCAAAAAUAACCAUCAUAGAUUAGUAUUGCCCGUUUGAACCUUACAUAAUGGAAGUAUACAAUAUGAAUUUUUUUGUGUCUGGCUUCUUUCUGUCAACGUAAUGUAUGGAUAAAUAAAUAAAUUUUUUAAAGCUGUCUUUUGAUGAGCAGAAGUUCUAAAUUUUAAUGUAGUCCAAUUUAUUAAACUUU
rnacentral:lncRNA from 1 species